rnacentral:lncRNA from 1 species
GGCUGUAAACCGAGGGGUUAUAGUGAAUUCCCAAGUGAGGCUUGGGGAGUGGACGUAGGAGCAAGGGUUAGCUCCGAACCACUAUAAAAUCAUUGUGUUUGUGAUUGCAUUUGUCUCUCUUACUUUCAUUUCAUUCACUGCACAUAGCAUCUAAUUAAUCAACUUGCAAAAAGGAUUAAUUAGUAUCUCACAAACCAUUUAAUUGUAAAAAUUAUUUUAAAACCCAAUUCACCCCCCCUCUUGGGUUGUCUAUCUGGGCAACAA